rnacentral:lncRNA from 1 species
CUUUUUUUGCUUUUGAGGGCCACACCCGUGACAUACGGAAGUUGCCAGGCUAGGGGUCAAGUCAGAGCUGCAGCUGCUGGCCUACAGCAACAGCUCAUGGCAAUGCCGGCUCCUGGCCGCAGCCACAGCAACUCAGGAUCCGAGCCACAUCUGCAACCUACACCACAGCUCACGGCAAUGCCAGAUCCCCGACACACUGAGUGAAGCCAGGGACCGAACCUGUAUCCUAAUGGAUACUAGUUGGAUUUGUUUUCACGGUGUCACAAUGGGUACUUCCCAGCUUUUUAUUUACAAAAAUUUUUUCUUAAAAAUCCAGAGGAGCUCCACUCUUACCUACUCAAGAAAAUGCUGAGCUAAAAUGUUUGGGCAAAAAAGCCCCCUGGACAUCUAUUCAGGCAACUUUACGUUAUGCUUCUCUGUUCCGACUGACGCACUAAUUCUAUUUAGAGGAAGUAAAAAAGGAUUUUCAGCCAAAAUAAUGACACUGGUUUGAUGCACACACCUGGCUACAAGGAUACUGCUGCUAAAAAGGAAAAUCUUUCCGUUAGUAUUUCAUAGAUGUGGGCAACACCAGCGUUGGCCAGUUACCAAGCAUCUCCACAGGCAAUCAGGCAGCUCCAAGUCUUUGGUAUGGGGUAUCUUGGGUGUCAAUGCAGAGGCUUGUUGAUGGCCUUGGGCCCCCCAGCAGGAGCACAGGGCAUGGGAUGAAAGGACUAGGGCUGUCUCCAGACAUGACAUGGGUAAGAAAGGGUAGGGGGGGAGUUCCCUUUGCAGCUCAGAGGUUAAGGAACCCAACUAGGAUCCAUGAGGAUGCCAAUUCAAUCCUCGGCCUCACUGAGUGGGUCGGGGAUCCCAUGUUGCCAUGAGCUGUGGUGUAGCUUGCAGAGGAGGCUUGGAUCCUGCGUUGGUGUGGCUGUGGUGUAGGCUGGCAGCUGCAGCUCCCAUUCGACCCCUAGCCUGGGAACCUCCGUAUGCCAUGGGUGUGGCCCUAAAAAGCAAAAAAACAAAAAGAAAAGAAAGAAAGGGCAAAAGGGAGAGAAAUCAAUAGCUCCCUUCUCGUAUUUCUAAAAGGAGCAUCAAAGUUGAAGAAUAAAUGAUAGAUUCCUCCCUACCACUGAGAGAAAGAAAAGACAAGGAAAGAGAAGACGGGGGAGUCAGCAACAAACAUGUUCCAUCAGACAAUCUUCCCUCUGGAGACCCAACAACUCUGCGAGGCUUAAGAGGUAUUUCCUAUAAAAUGGCAAAUGACAAAACUGAGGUUCAAAGAGGUUACAUAGCUUGUUGGAGGUCUCCAAGCUAGCCAGUAAGAGCAAGACGACAAGGAUGCAGGUAUCCUGACCCUGGGCUCAGGGUUCUUUCCACUCAGCAGCCUCUGUGGAGAGGGAGAUGGUCUCACUCAUGUAGGGGUGAGGUCCCGGGUUUCUAGUUCCCAACCUACCAGGAACUUGCUACAGACCAUAUGGACAGGGUAAGGACUGUGACAAGCUGGAGAAAGUGCGGCACAUCUAAAGGAGGCAGCUGUUAUUUCGUACCAAGUAAGUAAUUACAGUCAUACAGGAUAUAAGCUGUAGUCCUUCUAAUUUCUCAAGUUGGAAAUCUGGCUUUAUGAAAAGUCUCCCAACUUUUAAACGUUUGCUCUAAAUAUUUAAAAACACCAUGCUGGUCAAAUCAAACACAUAUGUAGGGGAAACCAAGCCCACACAGGAAACCAGUUCUAAAUCUGAUGUCAAUCCGUACAAGAAAAAGGGCCAGGCUAAAUGCCGGGUUCCUGGCUAUGCGCCCACAAAGGCAUGAAGUUAUUGGUUCAAUAAACCCAUAUGCCUACCAGCAUUAUCUCUCAAACAUACAUACAUACAUACAAUUUCUCAAAUAUAUGUAGAUGCUAAUAGGAAAAAAUUUAAAUUCACAUGGUUAGCUAAAUUCACAGCAGCUUUCCCCAACUGCUCUUUUUUCACCAAUAAACUGAUAGUAAAAAUACAACCACUACUAUGCGAACCCUCAUAAUUUUUUUUUUUUUUUGUCUUUUUGCCAUUUUCUUGGGCCGCUCUCGCGGCAUAUGGAGGUUCCCAGGCUAGGGGUCGAAUCGGAGCUGUAGCCCCCGGCCUACGCCAGAGCCACAGCAACGCGGGUUCCAAGCCACGUCUGCAACCUACACCACAGCUCACGGCAAUGCCAGAUCCUUAACCCACUGAGCAAGGGCAGGGAUCAAACCCGCAACCUCAUGGUUCAUGACAGUUAUCUGAACUAAGGUUCUGACAGUGGGAAGAGAGAAGAAAUCAGAGUCUAAAGGAGGAGGCAGAAUAGACCUGCCUCAGUUCUCUUUCUGCCUCAGGGCAGGAGGACAAGAGGGGGCUCAGGAUGACACCCCACCCCCCUGCCCCCAAUUCCUAUCUUGUGCACAAUGGUAAAAGGCAGCAUGGCUGCUCCAAGUGGGUUUGAAACACAGAUCGAUGCACUCUGGACACUCAGUUUGUGGCACCUUUGGGUCAUCCAAGUGGAACUGUCCAAGGGGCAGCCAAGCAGUCAAGGCUGGGGCACAGGUGGGGAGGCAGCCACAGAGAUGGAAAAUAGCAUCGCAAGAGGCCAGAUGCCAGAUGAUCAGAGAAGUGUGAGGGGAGGGGAGAAGAGAAGAAGCAUCACCAAGGGCUGGACAAAGAGACACAAGUCUGCCCCUUACAGGGAGCUGGAGGAAAAGGAGAAAACCAGAAUGAGUAGGUUGCCUUAGAAGCUAAGGGAGGAGAAUUUAGGAGAGAAUGGCCAACAAGGUCAAGUUGGAGAAGGAAAGACAAAUCACGGCACCACGUUCUGUUCUGGCUGAUCGUAAUCCACAUGUUUUUCACUGUCCAUCCUCUUCGAAGAACUGUACCAACAACACGAAGGUUUUUCCCCACUGUACUCCUACUGCCCACAGAUGCCUGGGAGUUCUUGAACAUCUCUAUGGAAGGAAGGCAUGGACAAUGCAUGCGUGAAUGUUUAGGGAAGAAUCAGUAAUAAAGGUGAAACCAGGUGAAGGGGUUAGAAAUAAUCCCCAGGGAAGAGGGCUGGGCGAGCACAGAGGAUGGGACCCAGGAGGCAGGAACAGUGUAGGUUGGUCUUGGAUGUCACAUAGAAAACUCAGAAAGAUCAUUUCCCCACCAUCCUCUUCCCCAAGUACCAGAGAUUACAAAGUUCUCUCCCAUGAGUUUCUACACUGUCCAGAUGGGCUCACUAAUCCAGGAUGCUCCAUCCCCCCUGAGAUUUUAUUACAGGAAAACCAUGAGUGAACAGACUGGGGAGGAGGCGUCUCUGAGGAUUCCCGUUCCAAUCCUCUACCUUGUGAGCAUGUGAUUUUCAAGAAGUGAUUUCAUCCCAACCACUGAUUGUGCAGCGUGAUGCCAAUGUGCUUCAAAGCUUUUAGUCAAAUCAACGUGCAAACACCUGCCCUUACGAAGCCGAAGCCGGGAAAAUGGGCAGGCUUAUUGCCUCAGUGAAUUAUUCACUUUCCAAAGUAGUCACUCACUGCACUAAAGAAGCAGAUCCCUUAGUUCUCAUAAAACCCAAUGUCUAAAUUUUGAUUUCAAAGUAACUGUCUUCAGAGUACAUUUGGCAUCUGCCUUUCACAGAAAAAAGAUCAGCUCCCCAUUCUCCCCCUGAUAGACUAUAUUAGCACGUCCUAAUUAGAUGUUCUAAAUCUGGAAGGAAAUGGCAGGGGGUGGGGGCAGGGGGGAAAGUGCCUUCAUAAGACUGCCCUAAUUUACGCAGCAUCACGGGCCCAGCUGACCUUUAUUCAGCCUUAAAUUAAUCAAUUGGCUGAGGCCCACCCUGGUACUUUGAAGAGACCACGGAUAAGAGGGUAUUUCACACAAAGGACUUUCAAUAAACAUAAACCACAAGCAUCAAAAGAAUGUUUAUCCCGAGGGCUGCCAAGAAAGGCCAAAUGAUAGAAUGAAAAGGCUCUGGACUAGGAGCCAGAGGAAUCAUUUUAGCAACUGGCUCAUAGGACAAUCCAACCAAGCCCUUCUCCACUCUGCCCACUGGUCCCUCACUUUCAUCCUCCUCCUCGGUGUUCAGGACCACCUCGGGUUUUAUACUAGCAACUAGCACUAAGCCAGGCAAUGCUGGUGAUGGUGUUCAGGUUACAGAAAGGUACACAGGUCUGGGAGCCCCACUGCCUAGGUUUGAAUCCAGCCUCUCAUCAGCUGGAGCAAAUGACUUGACUGCUACAGUUUCCUCUAUCAGUUAAGCGGGAAUGGUAGUGCACCCCAUCCCAGGACUGUAGUGAGAAUUAAAUGGAUUAACGAUUAGAAAGCACUUGGAACAAUGCCUGAUAAAUAGCCGGAAGUUUCCCAAUUCCAUUAUUAUGACAGCAACCACUGGUCUGACCUUGAGCAAGUCCCUGUCCACUGUGGGGUUAAAUUUCCCCCUGAGCAAUACAAUGGGGUGGAUGAACUCAUCUCAGGAAGAUCCCCACCAGCUUAACUCCUCUGUAAUUCUUGGAAUCCUAUUACAACUCUCUAAAUCCUCCUAAGGCUCUGAGCUCUCAGAUCAGCAGCCGAGAGGGAAGGUUCCCCAGGAGUCUUAUCAGCCCAGGGAGUUUCAACUCCUCCCAACCAUGGGCGGGACCCAGAGUCCCACAGUCCACUCAGCCAACCCCCUUCCUUACAGGAGUUACAGACUAUUCAGAGAUGAAAAUACUCAUGGUACCCAGAGCUGUGUAGACAGCACAAAUAUGAGAAAAGGACACACAUCAUGGGGGCCAAAAAAAAAAAAAAAUAAAGACAAGAAACAAUCAAAAGCAAGCAUGACACGCCAAAAAUACACUGUGUCCACCAGGCUACUUUUUUCGCAUCCUUCACCUAAUAGCAGUUUCAAAAACUUCGAACUAGGAGUUCCCGUCGUGGGUCAAUGGAAGUGAAUCUGACUAGUAUCCAUGAUGACACAGGUUCGAUCCCAGGCUUGCUCAGUGGGUUAAGGAUCUUGUGUUGCUGUGGCUGUGGCACGGGCCAGCAGCUGUAGCUUCAAUUAGACCCCUAGCCUGGAAAUUUCCAUAUCUGGCCCUAGAAAAAUAAAAAAUUAAAAAAAAAAAAACUUCAAACCUAGAAGGCAGCUCUGUAGCAGGGAAAUGUUCGCUACCUAGGGGCACAGGCUUCUCACUUGAAACCCAGGCAGACAUACCCCAAGGCACAGACACUCCUGAGUGGACACUCAGGUACAAACACCUUCCCCAGGAAGCACGGUCACUUGCAGGACAUAUGCCCUCCCCUCCGCUCUGCCCAAAAGUAAAAUCAGUGUUCACAAUGAUAUCAGUCCCCUCUCCCUUCUGGGCCUCAGUUUCCACUUCUGUAAAAUGGAGGAACUCAGGCCACCUACAUUUCCAAGUUUCCCAACAGUACUAAAAUUGUAGUAUCCCAUCCAUGAUUUCCAC